rnacentral:ncRNA from 2 species
UGGGCCGGUCGCGACUGGCGCAGCGGGUGGGUCACCACCGGGGAGCGACGCAGCAGCAGCAGACUUCGGGUCGGACGCCUGGGCCCACGGU